rnacentral:piRNA from 2 species
UCUAGAAGAUGUGCUGGCAGCUGC